CAGCAGCCACGGGAAUACGUAGGGUGCGAGCGUUAAUCGGAAUUACUGGGCGUAAAGCGUGCGCAGGCGGUUUCGUAAGACAGAGGUGAAAUCCCCGGGCUCAACCUGGGAACUGCCUUUGUGACUGCGAAGCUAGAGUACGGCAGAGGGGGGUGGAAUUCCACGUGUAGCAGUGAAAUGCGUAGAGAUGUGGAGGAACACCGAUGGCGAAGGCAGCCCCCUGGGCCGAUACUGACGCUCAUGCACGAAAGCGUGGGUAGCAAACAGGAUUAGAUACCCCCGUAGUCCCUGUCUCUUAUAC
rnacentral:rRNA from 1 species